rnacentral:rRNA from 1 species
AUUGAACGCUGGCGGCAGGCCUAACACAUGCAAGUCGAACGAGUGGCGGACGGGUGGGUAAUGUCUGGGAAACUGCCUGAUGGAGGGGGAUAAGUACUAGAAACGGUAGCUACUACCGCAUACGAUCCGAUUUUCCCAGGUGGGAUUAUCUAGUCGGUGGGGGAAAGGCUCACCUAGGCGACGAUCCCUAGCUGGUCUGAGAGGAUGACCAGCCACACUGGAACUGAGACACGGUCCAGACUCCUACGGGAGGCAGCAGUGGGGAAUAUUGCACAAUGGGCGCAAGCCUGAUACAGCCAUGCCGCGUGUAUGAAGAAGGCCUUCGGGUUGUAAAGUACUUUCAGCGGGGAGGCGUUACCCGCAGAAGAAGCCCCGGCUAACUCCGUGCCAGCAGCCGCGGUAAUAC